CUGAGGGAAGUUGCCGGGCGGCAUCGGACCGGGGUCCGGGAACCGCGGACCCUGUUCCCAAGCCUCGGGAGGACGGCGGGGAGCCUCGGCCGGGGGCGGGAGGAAGGACGGAGCCAGGGACCCAGGACUCACUGCGCCUUCCACGGAGCGGACGCCGACAAUGCCAUUGAAAGAUUGAUUGCAGGGAGGUGACGAGCUCACAUUUUGAGAAGAAGCUGGAGAGAAGCCCAAGUGGAUUAAUGGAAGCCCUGGAUGAGAACAGGAUCUCUGGGAGAAACCGUAAGGUCUGAUUAGUACAUUCUGAGUCCCAGGACGGUGGGAAUUAACCAGUGGAUUACAGGCAUGUUGUGGAAGUUGCUGGUGAGGAAACUGAAGCUUAGAGAGGCCACUCAGCUGCCGAGUGACACAGCCAAGAUUUACUAAGAUCUGACUUCUCGUCAAACCUUGUGAAUAGAAAAAGGAUUGCUUAUGAGUUGACAUAAGAAAAGUCUCCCCUACCUGACAUGCCAAAAGAGUGAGUACCAACUACAGAUUUAGGGAUUUUUAUGCAAACUUCUCUGUAAAAUUCCUCAAAUUUGAAAUGAUCUAAUUUUUAUAUACAUUUGAAGUAAAUGCAGCUUUUUAGAAAACUUUCUAAAAAUCCAGGCCUAUAAAAGGGAAAGUGUGUGAUGGUUGGUACUGAUUUUAGUAGCAUUUCAAGUUUCUAUUUCUAUACCUUGUUCAAUAUAAACAUUACCCAGAUAAAGAAUGGCUUACUUUCAGCUAUGGAGUUUAAACUUGGUAACACAGAACUAAACAAGUGACUGUGACACUCAGACAUCUGUGCACUAUGUGUGCAUGGCCUUUUCUUAAGUAAUGAAAAAAUUACGGAAAACGCAGGCCACAUCCGCACUCUGUUCAUUCGCUCAGCAAAUGCAAGUAACCCUCACUAUCCAAAUCUGUUUAGUUCCUUCGUUAGGGUAGUGCAAGAUAUCUCUAUCUAUGCAGCGCCUACCCAGUGCCAGGCACGUUGUGCUUUAUAACCCUAGGAGUUGAGUACCAUUGUUUACUGUUCUGCAGAUGAGGAGACUCAGGCACAGGGAGGGUACACUUACACCAAGUCACAUGGGAAUGUUUGUUCAAGAAAAGGAAUGGUAGCCAGUACAGAUGGGGCAGGGUUGAGUGACAGGGAGAGUGGCACAAGAGAUGAGCAUCACAGUCCUUCUGUGGAACAUGAUCUCAUUUUAGGCCUGAUGGGAAACCCUUGGAGAGAUUUCAGUUUAUGCUUGUUGUCCUGACAUGAUUAUCAGUGCUGCUCUCUUUCACUCUCAAAAGCGUCUCAGUUUAGAACAGAUUAUACAUUAUGGUCACCUUGGUAGCUUUAUUUUAGAUGUUAAUUUUGAGAUGCCUACUAGGUAUCUGAACAGAGAUGUCAAACAGGCAAUGGUGAAGUCUGGUGUUGUUAAGAAAUCAGGGCUGGAGAUAGAUAUUCGGGGAUCAUCUGCGUAAGUAUGGUAUUCAAAGCUAUGGCUCUAGAUGAGAUUGCCCAGAAACAGAGUAUAGAUCUGUAGUAGUGGCUGGCCAAACCUGGAAAGGAUUGACCAGAGGAAGAAGUCUGCCAAGAAAAGAGGGCAUGGUCAAUAAUAUUGACUGCCAUGGAGAGGUCAACUAAGAUAUAGAGAAGUGACCAAUGCACUUGGCAAAAAGGAAAUCAUUGGUUGACCCUAUCAAGAGUGAUUCUGGUGAAAUGCCAAAGGUAGAAGGGAACUGGAGUGGGUUGAGAGAAUAGGAGAUGAGGAAGAGGCAAGGACUACAAAUUUUUCCAAGAAAUUUUGUUGUGAAGGGUAGCAGAAAAAUGGAGGUUGUGAGAUGGAGUAAUUUUUCUUUAAGGAAAGCAAAUACUGGAACAUGUUUAUAUGCUGAUAGGUAUGACACAGGAGAGAGAUAGAUGAGGUCUGGGAAAACUGCAGGAUUAAUAUCUUUGAGGAAGUGAAGGUGGGCUGACUUUGGCUAAGGGCAGAGAUAUUAGUCCUGGUCCACAGAGGAUGGGAACAGAUGCAAGCAGGUAGAUGGAAUGGGCACUGUGAGGGGCAGGAGAGUUGCUGUCUGGUUGCCUCUUUUUACAGAGAAGCACAGUAGAAUGGGAGGAGGGGAGUAUACAGGAGGGCUGGAAAGAGGAGGUAUGAAAUAAUCCUGCUGAGGAGUAAGAGAGUGUACAUACAAGAGGGUAUAUAAGAAAGUUCGGCAGAGUUGAGUGGCCAUGUGUGCUCUGUGGCCAGUAAUUUAAAAAGAGCCUAGUCAGUACAGCAGAAAACUUCGGGUGCUCAGGCACAGAGAACCAAAGGCAAUUACAGUUACAGAAAUACAUUUGUAGCUUACUCUAACUUGAAUAGAUUAAAAAAAAAAAUCUACAUUCAGGGUCAAACAAGCAGUAUACUGACUCUGUUUUCCCUUAGACCAAAUCGUAUUCCAUUAUUUUUUAGCCCUUGAACCUCUGCCUUUUUUCAUUCUUGCAUUCUUACUCAGAUCUUCCUAUAAAUAAAAUUUAAAAUAUUCAAAAUCAGCAACAUAGCAAGGGGAGAAAUCCUUACAUAAAACACGAGAGUCAAAUUUUAUUUCCUCUGUGAAGAAAAGGCUCUAAUAACAAAAUUAAAUUAUUUCCUUUAAACUAUUUAUGUAUAAUUACACUAAAUUCAUUUCUGUGGCAAAAUGUAAUUAGCUGCCAAAGUAAAUGUGAUCACCUGGAAGACUUCCAGUGAGCUCAAGUUAGACAGCCUGGUGCAUCCAGCAUACAGGCAGCACCGAAUGCCAACAGCAGAAGGAAGGACUAGUUCUUGAGUAGCCCCAUUUCUGUCUCUGGAUAUAAGCGGAAGAAGUUGUGACUUACACCAAUUCAAAAGUAAUAUGGGAAAUUCAACUAACAUUGAAAGUUAGUUAGCCUGCUCUGUAUUUAUAAAAAGGGAAUAAAGACACUGCCUUCAUAAGGUCCUCAGACUGAUUAAAUCAGAUAAUGUAUGGAUAGAGCCUAGUGGGUAAGCAGGUGCCCAGUAAAUAUCAAUUUUCUACCUUCCUCCAACUGGUCCCCAUCCCUUUGAGUCACUUCUGUCCAGGGAGAGGCCUAAGUUGGUUCCACAGCUACUUAGGACAGAAGGAAGUGCUCCUUCCCUACUUUAACUCCUCUGUCAGUUCCCAAAUCUCAGAGUGCACAAGAAUCAUCUGCAGAGGUUGCUAAACUGCAGUCCUGGGCUCCACCUUGCAGGAAUUCAGCAAGUUGGAGUAAAACCUAGAAAUCUGCAUUUUUAUCUGUAUUAGAGUUGUUUAAAAUAUAUUUGUACUUCAUUAAACGUUUUGUUGGCAUCAAAAUACAUAUUCAGAGAUGUUUUUUCAUGUUUGUGCAUUAGUAUCAAAAAAAUUUAAAAAUUAGAUACAGUACUUUCUGAACUGCUACGUAACUAAAAAUUUUAAGACUAUACCCUAUUUUAAAAUUUCCUUUAUUUCCUUAGAUCUUUAUGAAACAUUUCAUCUUUUGCAGAUCAU